UCCCAUAUGGCCCCGUCCCACCACAGUGCCCGCCAGCCAUGAGCUCCACGCAGUUCAACAAGGGCCCCUUGUACAGGCUGUUGGCCAAGGUCAAGAACCGGCUCCUGUCCAAGUAUGACUCCCAGAAGGAGGCAGAGCUCCGCAGCUGGAUCGAGGGACUCACCGGCCUCUCCAUCGGCCCCGACUUCCAGAAGGGCCUGAAGGACGGGAUUAUCUUAUGCACACUCAUGAACAAGCUACAGCCAGGCUCAGACCCCAAGAUCAACCGCUCCAUGCAGAACUGGCACCAGCUAGAAAACCUCUCCAACUUCAUCAAGGCCAUGGUCAGCUACGGCAUGAACCCCUUGGACUUGUUCAAGGCCAGGGACCUGUUUGAGAGUGGGAACACGACGCAGGUGCAGGUGUCUCUUCUCACCCUAGUGGGGAAGGCCAAGACUAAGGGGCUGCAGAGCGGGGUGGGCAUCGGCGUCAAGUACUCGGAGAAGCAGGAGUGGAACUUCAACAACGCCACCAUGAAGGCCGGCCGGUGUGCCAUCGGGAUGCAGAUGGACACAACAAAUGUGCCAGCAAGUCGGGCAUGAUAGUGUAUGGCACAAGGAGGCAUCUCUAUGACCCCAAAAACCACAUCCUAUCCCUCAUGGACCACUCGACCAUCAGCCUCCAGAUGGGCACCAACAAGUGUGCCAGCCAGGUGGGCAUGACAGCUCCCGGGAUGCGGCAGCACAUCUAUGACAUCAAACUGGGAACCGACAAGUGUGAUAACUCCUCCACGUUCCUGCAGAUGGGCUACACACAGGGUGCCAACCAGGGCGGCCAAGUCUUUGGCCUGGGCCGGCAGAUAUAUGACCCCAAGUACUGCCCACAAGGCACAGUGGCCGAUGGGGUUCCCUCCAAUGUUGGCAACUGCCGGGUCCCUGAAUAUCCCCUUACUACCAGAAGGAGGCCGGCUACUGA